GGGCAGACUGCCUGGGAAGACUGGAGGGAUCUGUGUGAGAGAAACACGCUUCCGGAUACAAGUACCAGUCACAGGAUGGAGCCUUUUAUGACAACCAGAUGCAGCUGCACAGAUCUCAUCAGGAAGACCAGUCCGCACAUGUUGUAAUUAUUUGUUUUUAUAUAGAACAGCAGCAGCUAGUAAAGUAUCAUUUACAAGA